rnacentral:tRNA from 1 species
AUUAAGGUGGCAGAGCCCGGUACUGCAAAAGACCUAAGCCCUUUAUACAGGGGUUCAAAUCCUCUCCUUAAUA